rnacentral:sRNA from 1 species
AUAUAGCGUAUAUUGUUAUUGGAAAGACAGGCUGCCAUGUUUUUGAAGCAUAUUGAACUUUUAAUAACUUUUUAAAGAGUUAAAGAGAUCUAUUAAGUCAACAACCAAGCAAAAUAUGGAUAAAAAAAAUGCAUGAAUAAAAUGAAACAUGCAUCUAUAUCUACAAAAUUAAACAUUAUGACUUAGUGUCAUAAUAGAGCAAUGACAAUAAAUGACAAUAAAUAAAACAUUUUAUGUCAGAAGGUUACCAGUAUCUUAAUACUUUUAUUUUUAUCUGUUAAUGAUUAAGACUACUGUUAGAUUCUAAACAUUUCUAAUGAAUUUCAAGAGUCCUUAAUUUUUGUAAAAUUACACCACGAAGAUACUUAAUUACCACUACCUCUGGCCCCAACUCUCUUGGCGGACAGAUAGGUCUAGAGUAGCUAGAUCAAGAAAGUCUUUGUUAAACAUAACAUAGCAACUAUUAAACUGUUAUCUGUUUCACACUAUGAAAUUUUGUUUGGGUAGGGCAGGGAAACAUAUGUGUAAGAAAAAGGUAACAAGCAUAAACACUACUAUUUAGAUAAUUUAUGCAUCAUUAUUUAAACAAAACUGCUCCCCUAUUACACAAAAAUUUUAAAAUAUCUCAACACAUAGGUUCUUGGUUUGAAAAAGUAAAGAUAUUGUUUGUAAAUUUGUUGCCUUUUAGGUAACUAUACUGUGUCCUCAUGGAGACUUUCUGCAACUAGAACUAAAAUUAUCAAGGAAACCCUUCAUAGACUGGUCACCCUUUUUUAAAGGGAAAUGUGCGAACACAAUGUUUACAGUAAUUUUGAAAUGCUAGAAGGUGAAGGAAAUAUUGUAGAAAUAGAUGAAGCAGAGUUUAGAAGAAGUAAGAACAAUAAAGGACGUUUUUUUAAGAGGUGUAUGUGGGUCUUUGGAGGUAUCCAGUGAGAUGCAAAAAAGUAUUUUUAACUGAGGACCAACAUUGAAAUAUCAAAGAAAAUUUUGAGAUGUUUGUCAAUUGUGGAUGGUGACUUCAUGCAUAUGGAAAUUAUGAAACAAGAAACAACAUGGGCCACAACUACAGAAAUGCUUGCAGCUGCUACAAAGAAACAAUUAUACAUUUGUGCUUCUGAUUCCACUGUGGAUACUUGUUUUAAUUUUUCUCACAGUAAGUGCACAGGUUGUCUGUCAGCUGACACAAAAAGGCUUUGACUAUAUUUUAAAUGAUGAAGAGAGACGAUUUUUAUAUGACCAUGACGUUUUAAAAAAGACUCGACAGUGUGAUCAGUGUGACAAGACUGACUUUAUGCGACUCGACUUCCUACUGUAACAAAAGGACUUUUACUAAAAAUAGGAAUAAAUAAAGUGUAUCUGUCCAAUGUUGUUUUCAAAUCUCUCAAAACUAUGGAACAUGGUUUGACAAUGCAUGUAUUCACGCGGACUAAAGUGUGCAACUUAGUUUCUAUGUGGAUGCUGCUGAACCCACCUAGAAUUGUUAUUACGGCAAUCGAGCUAAAUAUCUGGGGGGAAAAAACAUGCUUCGAUUGGUGCCCAUUUCUUCGUGAGGUAUGUGGGUCUUUGGAGGUAUCAAGUGAGAUACAAACAAGUGUUUCAUUAUCCCAGUAAAAGACAGAACCAAGGAAACUGUUAAAAACCAUUAAAGAGAGAAUUUUACCAGGUACCAUCAUCAUGAGUGAUUGCUGGCAUUCAUAUGAUUGCCUAAACAGUGAAGGAUAUAGACAUCUAACAGUUAACCACUC